rnacentral:rRNA from 1 species
CCCCUAGUAACUGCGAGUGAAGCGGGAAAAGCUCAAAUUUGAAAUCUGGCAGUUUUUGACUGUCCGAGUUGUAAUCUAGAGAAGUGUUACCUGUGCUGGACCAUGUACAAGUCUUCUGGAAUGGAGCAUCAUAGAGGGUGAGAAUCCCGUCUUUGACAUGGACUGCCUGUGCAUUAUGGUGCGCUCUCAAAGAGUCGAGUUGUUUGGGAUUGCAGCUCAAAAUGGGUGGUAAAUGCCAUCUAAAGCUAAAUAUUGGCGAGAGACCGAUAGCGAACAAGUACCGUGAGGGAAAGAUGAAAAGAACUUUGGAAAGAGAGUUAAACAGUACGUGAAAUUGCUGAAAGGGAAACGCUUGAAGUCAGUCGCAUCAGCCAGAAAUCAGCCUUGCUUUUGCUUGGUGUACUUUCUGGUUUUCUGAUGGGCCAGCAUCAAUUUUGACCAUUGCACAAAGUCUUUGGGAAUGUGGCAUCCUCGGAUGUGUUAUAGCCCAUUGUCGUAUAUGGUGGUUGGGAUUGAGGAACUCAGCAUGCCUUCUGCAAAGGGGGCCAGGUCUUUGGACCAUGUCCAUGCUUAGGAUGCUGGCAUAAUGGCUUUAAUCGACCCGUCUUGAAACACGGACCAAGGAGUCUAACAUGCCUGCGAGUGUUUGGGUGGAAAACCCAUUCGCGCAAUGAAAGUGAAAGUUGAGAUCUCUGUAAAGGAGAGCAUUGACGCCCGGACCAGACCUUCUGUGACGGAUCCGCGGUAGAGCAUGUAUGUUGGGACCCGAAAGAUGGUGAACUAUGCCUGAAUAGGGUGAAGCCAGAGGAAACUCUGGUGGAGGCUCGUAGCGAUUCUGACGUGCAAAUCGAUCGUCAAAUUUGGGUAUAGGGGCGAAAGACUAAUC